CCUACGGGUGGCAGCAGUGAGGAAUAUUGGUCAAUGGGCGUAAGCCUGAACCAGCCAAGUCGCGUGAGGGAUGAAGGUUCUAUGGAUCGUACACCUCUUUUAUAAGGGACUAAAGUGCGGGACGUGUCCCGUUUUGUCUGUACCUUAUGAAUAAGGAUCGGCUAACUCCGUGCCAGCAGCCGCGGUAAUACGUAGGAUCCGAGCGUUAUCCGGAUUUAUUGGGUUUAAAGGGUCCGUAGGCGGCCUUUAAGUCAGCGGUGAAAGUCUGUGGCUCAACCAUAGAAUUGCCGUGGAAACUGGGAGGCUGGAGUAGGUUUGAGGAAGGCGGAAUGCGUGGUGUAGCGGUGAAAUGCUUAGAUAGCACGCAGAACCCCGAUUGCGAAGGCAGCUUGCCAAGCCAUGACUGACGCUGAUGCACGAAAGCGUGGGGAUCAAACAGGAUUAGAUACCCCAGUAGUC
rnacentral:rRNA from 1 species